CCCCAGCUCAAGGCCAGAGGCCUUGUUUUACAUAUUUUGUGAAAAACUAGUAAGGGGGUGUCCAGCUUUUCGAGUGCUGAUUUUUCCAGCCAGUGACCAAAUAAAACAGGGCAACGGGAAAAUAGGAAGUUUAUCUACAUUGAACUUUUUGUAGAGAUUCUUUUGCUGAAAGUCCUAAAAUCAGCCAUGGUGAAGAUUUCUGGAGAAGGGAUAUCUGCUGGGAUGGGCCCCGGAGCAGCAGGAUAGGGAGCCUCAACUCAUUACUAUGUAAAGUCAUCAGAACAGGUUAUUGAAGACAUCCAACAGGUUGCCAACUUUGUACUGAUUUUUCAAAAUCAACUGGACUCCCUGACAUCUGUCGUCCUGCAAAACCGGUUCAGGAAGAAUGCAGUAUGAAAACCAAUCAGAAGUGAAACAGUUUCAAUGUAAGGUGACCUGUUUAGCUCAAACCGCCUCCCAGGAACGCGUCAAAGCCAUUCUCCUGUGCUCACAAUCUGAUUCCCUGAAACCACAAAAAAGGGGACUUCGUCUAAGAUGACCUGAGGCUUCUUCCAUAUACACCUCUCUUCAGCCUCUACCACUGGGGUCUCCGUCUUCUCUCCCAGAACUCUGAAAGCGGGGAGUCCCUGACACUACUCCUUCUCAGCAGGAUGCAGCCGGAUAUUCAUUAUUUCUGUUCAGUCUGGAAAGGAGGAUAUGGAAAACUACAACCCCCAGGGAGAAAAGAAAACAAUGGGUUCAAGGGAAAGAAGGAAGACAACUGUGCUCUGGACUUUCACAGUUUCCUGUUCUACAACUGUUUCCCUGACUGCCCAACCGACACAGUCUGCUGUGAUUAAGUCUAACUAAACCCUACCAAACUUAGACCCCUAUUGUAACCAGUUGCCAUCUUUCUCCUAAAAAUGGGCCCUUCUACUGCUUAAUAAAGCAUCACUGAUCCACCAA